rnacentral:rRNA from 1 species
GAUGAACGCUGGCGGCGUGCUUAACACAUGCAAGUCGAACGGAAAGGCCCAAGCUUGCUUGGGUACUCGAGUAGCGAACGGGUGAGUAACACGUGGGUGAUCUGCCCUGCACUUCGGGAUAAGCCUGGGAAACUGGGUCUAAUACCGGAUAGGACGAUGGUUUGGAUGCCAUUGUGGAAAGUUUUUUCGGUGUGGGAUGAGCUCGCGGCCUAUCAGCUUGUUGGUGGGGUAAUGGCCUACCAAGGCGUCGACGGGUAGCCGGCCUGAGAGGGUGUACGGCCACAUUGGGACUGAGAUACGGCCCAGACUCCUACGGGAGGCAGCAGUGGGGAAUAUUGCACAAUGGGCGCAAGCCUGGUGCAGCGACGCCGCGUGGGGGAUGACGGCCUUCGGGUUGUAAACUCCUUUCGCUAGGGACGAAGCGUUUUUGUGACGGUACCUGGAGAAGAAGCACCGGCUAACUACGUG